rnacentral:lncRNA from 1 species
UUAAAUAUGAAAUUGCAUGAAUAUUGAAUUUUUAAAAAUUAAACAAUAUUUGAUCAAGUCUCACAACCCAUUAAUCAACUAAAACUUCAACCAAUAUUUAACUAGAUUAAAAUAAUUCAGUCACUCAUGACUGAAUUAAAAACAGAAAAAUAAAAUAGAAAAAGGAAAAGAAAAGAAAGAAGAACCGAAUUGCGCCGGGCGGUGGAAUUGCCGAAUUGAAAAUUCUAGCCGUUUAUCGUCCUUUAAAUAGAGCAGAGGAGAGGUGCCCCUAAUUGGGAAGUUGCUGGCCACGUGAGAGUUGAUAUCCCGUGUGCGGGAGAAUUGGCGUGAGUGGGCUGCGUGAUUGGUCCAUGUGAAGCGCUUGGGUUGUCCAAAUUGCGCGGAACGGUGAAGUGGGCGUUGAAGACGGGCCAUGUGCGCUGGCGGGUCCACGCGAGGAGAGAUUGAUCCAUGUGCUGGGAUGUUUCGGCGGGCCCAUGUGCUGGAGCUUGUAAUGGCGGGGAUGCGCGGACGUGCGAGUGAAGGUGCGGGCCGCUUGGUCCAUUGCGCGUACUUGGUCCACGUGAAGAGAGAUUGCAAUGGCGG